rnacentral:lncRNA from 1 species
AUUUUUUCAUGAGUUAGGAACUGCCUGUUUUUUUCCACUUAUGGAGCAUAGAGCAGGUGUGUUGGGUGAAUUCAGUUUUGAUAUUCUUUCCCUUCUGUUUGUUCCUUUGCCCUUUCUAAGAUGAAACGAAACCCAAUUUUUCCUUUCUGAGCUAUGCAUUACCAUUUUAUGCAGAGCAAGAUGAAAAGUUAUACCAUGAUUUCCUGGACUUAGAUAAUGCAUAUAAUAAUUUCCUAGCAUGAAAAAUCAGUAAUGUGAACACUGAUAUGUGGAAAAGUGUGCUUUUAGGUUAUUAAGGCAAAUUACUUGCUGGUUUUGUGUAGAGUUAUUAGUGGUUGUGGUCACAUUAGUCUUGAAUUUCCACAAGGCUUUCAUUCAUAGCAGGGAUCUAGGCUCAGCAAACACUUUUGGCAUGUCAACUUCUAUUUAAGACCUAAAGGAUCAUAUAAAUAAGCAAAGAGAUAUGGAAGCAGAACUCAAAUAGAGGCACUGUAUAAUUAUUCUCUUGUUGACUAAUCUGAAGGUAAUUAUUUUAUAUACA